UUCCCAUCCCGAACACGGAAGUUAAGCUCUUUUGCGCCGAUGGUAGUUGGGGGUCUCCCCCUGUGAGAGUAGGACGUCGCUGGGC
rnacentral:rRNA from 1 species